CCUACGGGGGGCAGCAGUAGGGAAUAUUGCUCAAUGGGGGAAACCCUGAAGCAGCAACGCCGCGUGGAGGAUGAAGGUCCUCGGAUUGUAAACCCCUUUUGUUAGAGAAGAUAAUGACGGUAUCUAACGAAUAAGCACCGGCUAACUCCGUGCCAGCAGCCGCGGUAAUACGGAGGGUGCAAGCGUUACUCGGAAUUACUGGGCGUAAAGGGGGCGUAGGCGGGAUAGCAAGUCAGCUGUGAAAUCCUAUGGCUUAACCAUAGAACUGCAGUUGAAACUGCUAUUCUAGAGUAUGGGAGAGGUAGGCGGAAUGCUUGGUGUAGGGGUGAAAUGCGUAGAGAUCAAGAGGAACACUGAUUGCGAAGGCGACCUGCUGGAGCAUAACUGACGCUGAUGCGCGAAAGCGUGGGGAGCAAACAGGAUUAGAUACCCCAGUAGUC
rnacentral:rRNA from 1 species